UGGGGAAUUUUGGACAAUGGGCGCAAGUCUGAUCCAGCCAUGCCGCGUGCGGGAAGAAGGCCUUCGGGUUGUAAACCGCUUUUGUCAGGGAAGAAACGAGUUUCUCUAAUACAGAGACUUAAUGACGGUACCUGAAGAAUAAGCACCUGCUAACUACGUGCCAGCAGCCGCGGUAAUACGUAGGGUGCGAGCGUUAAUCGGAAUUACUGGGCGUAAAGCGUGCGUAGGUGGUGGUUUAAGUCUGCUGUGAAAGCCCUGGGCUCAACCUGGGAAUUGCAGUGGAUACUGGAUCACUAGAGUGUAGUAGAGGGAUGCGGAAUUUCUGGUGUAGCAGUGAAAUGCGUAGAGAUCAGAAGGAACAAACGUGGAGAAGGCAAUCCCCUGGACCUGUACUGACGCUCAUGAACGAAAGCGUGAGGAGCAAACA
rnacentral:rRNA from 1 species